AUCUUUCUGCAUUUUUUUUUUUAAAGUUUUGAAGGUGGUUAGCAAAUUUUUUUUUGGAUCCAAAUGUAAAUUGGUCAAGCUGUCGCUUUAAUUUUUCGUUUUUUUUUUCUACUUUCCUCUAACCCGCCGUCCAUCCGCCCAACGAGCCGCCGAGGGGAUGUGAGCCGGUGGUUCCGCUCCUGUCGACCCGAUACCGGAUCCUCUCCCCCGUGGCGACAACGAUGGGCGGCGCAACUCCCGGCGACGGCGACCCUCUCUCUCCCCUGUCUACGUCCUCCUCUUCAUCGUUCUUCCGCAACUCCUCGACGGAUUCGUCGAGUUCCUCAGAAAGGCCCUCCGCAUUUACACUUGGGAGGCAAAACUUAGAUGGACAGCUGCAGCUAAAGAGAAGGAGCUAUCUAAAGAAAUCAAAACAGGUGUGAGACAUCAUGGCAUGGGGAAUGGCAUGGAAAACAAUUUGACAUCUCCAUUAAUUCUGACGAUAUAUUUCUGUGACUGUUUAUAUUGCACAUAACUUUCAGAUCCUUGGGGUGUAAUAAUAUAUUCAGGCAAAAAUUGCUUCUGCAUCCUUCUACAUGCUACAUGUGGGAGAAAAAGACCAGCUGGUAUUCAUCUUUCUGUUCAUUACGGCGGUUAGAUGUAUUUCGAUGUAUUUUGUAUUUGGGUAAGAGAUCGAGGCUCCAGGCAAGAGUGAUCUCUCUAGAAAUUCCAAAGUAAGUGAAAUUUAUACUUGUUCAAAGACAAAUCCUCAACAUCAUAUGAAGUCAUAUAAGUAGAUGAUGAAUUUGCCAAUAUUCUUCAUGGAGGUUAAGUUCGUCAAUGUUUAUUGGUUGGAAGAAUAUUACCAAUUUCCUUUAUAGUAAGAUACACCUAAAUUGAGACAAAUGCCACUGCAUAUUGAUUCCGUAAAGAUUGAUUUGGUGUCUCUCUUUGAAAUCUGUGCCCUUUUUGUGUCAGAGUUUUGACAGAUGAGAAUGGGAUGAUUUGCUCGUCUUCCCAGGUCUUAUAGUUAACAACAUAACAAAUUAAGUGGAGGCGUACACAUUAAAGAAUAAGUAAACAUUGAUGAGCAGCCAGCUUAUGUAUACUAUAUUAUGAAUGGUGAUUUUAAGUGCAUCUGUUGAGCAUAAACCUCAGACACAAAUAUGAACCUGUGGGCAAAAUGAAUGCUCUUGCAGCCUCCUCUGAAGACAUGCUCACAUGUUUGCUAGUGCCAAGAAGAUGGCAGGUCUUCAUGCUGUGGUCAGGCUGAGGGGAGAGAAAAUGGUUGGCAGUACCUUAUUUACACUUUGUAAUUACAUCCCAUUCCAUCCUUGUGGAAAUUCUCUCUGUUAACUUUAUAAUUUCUCAUCAAGCAUAAUGUUACUUUAGUGGGCAUUGAAAGGUGAUAACAUAGUAUUUGUUAGUUUAAACAUUUCCAAAUGUAAUUCAGAAUUUUGUAAA